AAAAUUGUGUUUUUGCUGAUUAUUUACAAAAUAACUCGGUCUCAAUCAGAUUGGCUAUGUAAAUAUAGAUUUUCAAGUUUGGCCACAGAUUCUUAUUUAGAUCUCAUUUAGAUACUUUGUGCACUUUGAACACAUUGAAAUGCUACCUCUGGCUGGCAGUAUCUUUAAGGUUGUUGUACUGCUGAAAGGUGAACCUCCAACCCUGUCUUAAGUUUUUUGUGACUCCAGUCAUCCUCCUAAUAGUUCUGAUCAGCUUCCCUGUCCCCACAACACUAAGCAGCCACUAUCAUGUUUUAUCAUGGUGAUGGUGUGGUCAGGGUGAGGUCAGCAUUGCUUUUCUGCCACACAUUGCAUUUUGCAUGUGUGUGAGCUGUUUUAGUUUGGUUUCAUCUGACCAGAGCAUGUUCUUCCAUAUGUUGGUCUUCUUAUGCUCAUCUUUUAACCAUGCCAUUCUUCUUGCCACCUUUUGAUAAAGACUGGAGUGUACAACCAAUAAUUGUAAAAGCCAUCAGAUUCUUCCAUUGAGGGACUAUCAGGCAUUGUUAUAGCCAUUCAUAACUGACUUGUAGCAAUAUGCUGUAAAACUGCCAGCAGAGCUUUAACUGGGGGAAUAUGGAGAGCUAGGACUGGUAGUACAAGCACAACAUGUACAAAGAAAUCUGAGUGAGUGAGAGUAAUAAAGACCAAAAGAGAGAAGGUGAGAAAUUUGACUCAUCAUGAAACAUUGACAUAUGGUAAGCAGAGGGGGGUAAAAUAAAUACCACUGUUCCAAUCAAAAAAAAAAACCAGGCCACUUGUAUUUCAAUCUAGGCUUCAUGCUGGCUUUACCCUGGUGCUGCCAGGUUGUGCCCCUCUGUGCCUCAUGCAAAGGAGGCCAUGUUGCAUCAAGCGCAAGGAGGGAGCCAGCAGCCAUAAACACUCAUGCUUGAAGAGAUCGUAAUGAUUCUGACAACACAAGCACAGACUGUAAACUGGAACAAGAUGCCAAACUCAGCUCAUGCCAGUUACUCACACCCAUGUCUUGGCUUGAAGAGAGGUUCAGUGAGGGGGAAAGGAAGGAACUAGAUUCAAAUUCAGAUUUGCCAUAAGGAAGAUGGCUUGGAGAGAGAACAUGUUCCUUUGACAAGGCAUAAACAGAUGGACAGAAACCUGUCAUUAAUCACUUUGGAAAAGACAUGCUUACACCUGUCUUUGAAUGCCAGCAGAUGACAGACUGUGUAGGUCGUUUCCAGCAUGCUGUAGUAGGGGAUAAGGACAGUGUGUCUGAAACACACACUUUUUAACAAAAACAAAAAGAAAUCUUCAAUAUUAUUUUAAAAGGGUGAAUUUCAAUGAAUUAGCAAAGUUUUACAAUAAACACUUGAAUGGCAGCAUGCAUGUGUUAAAUAAAUUUAGGGGACCCCCUAAGAUUGUCUAAACCUGCGAGUGAUAAAUAAAACUUCAAAUCUCUGAAGCUCAUGCUGGAAGCGAACAAAGCCUUGCAUCAACCUUUCUGCCACAAAAAAACUGGGAGAUGAAAUAUCUUAUUUUAUGUAUAUUUCUAUUACUGAGACUUACAUGACCCAUGUGAGGGCAUUCGCUUGGCAACCACACAAGGCCAGCUGUUAAAAAUGGAGCACAACCUCCCUGGCAGAGAACACAAUGUCCCGGGGAGUUCAGGGGGACAUGUGCGGUCUGGUUACUGUCCAGCCACCUCUGAUUAUGUCUCCACUCACACUUCUCCCUGCUCUAGAUACACUUUCCCUUAGUAACGUCAGGGGCUGAAAUGUUUUUGCAGCAGUUAUGAAACUCAAGCGCUCUGAUCUGAAGUAUGAGUGGAGUCCUUUCUCUUUCAUCUCUCGUGCUCUCGUGGCCUAUGACUACAGUGUUGAAGUGAAAUAUGAAGGGUUACUUGCUUUGUACUUUAAUCAUUCAA